GAAUGCGAUAAGUAAUGUGAAUUGCAGAAUUCAGUUAAUCAUCGAAUCUUUGAACGCACCUUGCGCUCCUUGGUAUUCCGAGGAGCAUGCCUGUUUGAGUGUCAUGGAAUUCUCAACUCUAUUUGCUUUUGUGAAUAGAGCUUGGAUUUGGAGGUUUAUUGCUGGUACUUGUGAUCGGCUCCUCUUGAAUGCAUUAGCUCGAACCUUUGCGGAUCAGCUAUCGGUGUGAUAAUUGUCUACGCCGUUGCAGUGAAGCAUAUCAAUGGGCUCGGCUUCCAAUCGUCCUUUACUGGACAAUGACUUUGACCUUUGACCUCAAAUCAGGUAGGAUUACCCGCUGAACUUAAGC
rnacentral:misc_RNA from 1 species